GACGAACGCUGGCGGCGUGCUUAACACAUGCAAGUCGAACGGUAAGGCCCUUCGGGGUACACGAGUGGCGAACGGGUGAGUAACACGUGGGUGAUCUGCCCUGCACUUCGGGAUAAGCCUGGGAAACUGGGUCUAAUACCGGAUAGGACCACUGCCUGCAUGGGUGGUGGUGGAAAGCUUUUGCGGUGUGGGAUGGGCCCGCGGCCUAUCAGCUUGUUGGUGGGGUGAUGGCCUACCAAGGCGACGACGGGUAGCCGGCCAGGGAGGGUGACCGGCCACAGUGGGACUGCGAUACGGCCCAGACUCCUACGGGAGGCAGCAGCGGGGAAUAUUGCACAAGGGGCGCAAGCCUGAUGCAGCGACGCCGCGUGAGGGAUGACGGCCUUCGGGUUGUAAACCUCUUUCAGCACCGACGAAGCGCAAGUGACGGUAGGUGCAGAAGAAGGACCGGCCAACUACGUGCCAGCCGCCGCAGUAA
rnacentral:rRNA from 1 species